rnacentral:rRNA from 1 species
UACGUAGGUGGCAAGCGCUGUCCGGAUUUAUUGGGCGUAAAGCGAGCGCAGGCGGUUCCUUAAGUCUGAUGUGAAAGCCCACGGCUCAACCGUGGAAGGUCAUUGGAAACUGGGGAACUUGAGUGCAGAAGAGGAGAGUGGAAUUCCAUGUGUAGCGGUGAAAUGCGUAGAUAUAUGGAGGAACACCAGUGGCGAAGGCGACUCUCUGGUCUGUAACUGACGCUGAGGCUCGAAAGCGUGGGGAGCAAACAGGAUUA